rnacentral:rRNA from 1 species
AUUGAACGCUAGCGGGAGGCCUUACACAUGCAAGUCGAACGGAGUGGCGAACGGGUGAGUAAUGUAUCGGAACGUGCCCAGUAGAGGGGGAUAACUACGCGAAAGCGUAGCUAAUACCGAAUACUAUUUGAGCGGCCGAUAGCGGAUUAGCUAGUUGGUGGGGUAACGGCUCACCAAGGCGACGAACCGUAGCUGGUUUGAGAGGACGACCAGCCACACUGGGACGUAGACACGGCCCAUACUCCUACGGGAGGCAGCAGUGGGGAAUUUUGGACAAGGGGGGAAACCCUGAUCCAGCCAUGCCGCGUGUAUGAUGAAGGCCUUCGGGUUGUAAAGCACUUUUGGCAGGGAAGCGUUACCUGCAGAAUAAGCACCGGCUAACUCCGUGCCAGCAGCCGCGGUAAUUC